CGUAUCCAAGUUGCGAUGCUUGUGUCCAUCCCAGGGCUUACUACGGUGCCUGGCACGUAAUAAACGUUGUGAUUGUUCACACCUGGCCAGUGUAACAAGCCUGGCUCACUAACGCCGGAGGAACUGGCAGUGGGAGAAAGGAAGCUCUAAGACGCCCCACGUCUUCCGGGGCUCCCGACUCCGGAGGAGCCGAGUGGACGACAAGGCCAAAAUAUCAAACCUGCAACGACGAGUGAAUGGCGAUGGUGAGAUUUUUGCCCUGAAAUGUGGCCGACGGAAGGGAAGAGGAGAAUUAGCCAGAUAUAUCUGACUGUAAGCCCGUCAAGGGGCAGGGACGGUCUCUAUCUGUUGCCGAAUUGUCCAUUCCAAGCGCUUAGUACAGUGCUCUGCACAUAGCAAGCGCUCAAUAAAUACUAUUGAAUGAAUCUGGGCAGGGGUCUCCGUGAACUCUCUGCAGAAGGUUGGAACUCUGUCAGAACAUCGUGGUCAGUGACCUCAACCCAGAAUCAAGGACUCCCCCUCCGUUGGACCCCGCUUGGUGCCAAGUGGCCGACUGGACCUCCGCGCUGGAGCUAGAAGAUUUCAUCUAGAACCGUCUGGAUGAAGAACCAAGUCAAUGGGGGCUCAGGCUCGGUUUGCCUGCGACUCCUUCCUGUGGCCUCGCUUCUUUCGAGACCGCAAGCUCUUUGAGGGCAGGGAACUCCCCCACGCACCGAGUACAGUGCUCUGCACAAGGGCCAAGCUUGGCAUCACUGUUAGGGAGGGGACCCAACUGAGCAUCGUCCAUGCCCGGGGCAUGGCAGCCACGGGAGACCCUGCCCCCAACCCCAUCGUGCUCCUCUUCUGGAUUCCGCCGCCCCCAGUUUGAUCAUCCUCGCUGGAGCGGAAAUCUUUUCGCCGGGAGGCCCUCCGCCCGCAC
rnacentral:lncRNA from 1 species